AACCCUUGACAUCCUGUGCUAACCCGAGAGAUCGGGCGUCCACUUCGGUGGCGCAGUGACAGGUGCUGCAUGGCUGUCGUCAGCUCGUGUUGUGAAAUGUUGGGUUAAGUCCCGUAACGAGCGCAACCCUUGUCCUUAUUUGCCAGCACGUAAUGGUGGGAACUCUAAGGAGACUGCCGGUGACAAACCGGAGGAAGGUGGGGACGACGUCAAGUCAUCAUGGCCCUUACGAGUUGGGCUACACACGUGCUACAAUGGCCGGUACAGAGGGCUGCAAACCUGCGAAGGUAAGCUAAUCUCACAAAACCGGUCGUAGUCCGGAUUGGAGUCUGCAACUCGACUCCAUGAAGUCGGAAUCGCUAGUAAUCGUGGAUCAGAAUGCCACGGUGAAUACGUUCCCGGGCCU
rnacentral:rRNA from 1 species